GUUUGUCUGCUGCUUCUCGGGAUGCUGGGAGAAAACCUGCUGGUGGAAUUCAGGGCUGGCCUGAGGGCUGGUGACACCAUCCCUGGGGACUCCCCGAGUUUCUCUCUCCAUCCUGCUGAUGGGACUCUGGGAGCCGCCCUGCAUGUCUUGCUUUCUUGGGUUUUUGGAUUUUAAUAUACCUUAGCACCCUUGGUUUAUACCUUUGAUUUAUACUUUGGGUCCCUCUUCACUUACACUCUCAUACCUCUCCUUGACUUAACACCUGUGAUCCCCGAGCUUAAACUUCUGAUGCCCCUAACCCCUCUCAUUUUCCUGCCUUCCACUCCCUCUCGGCUUGUGGUUUUAUUUUUGUUUAUUUAUUUUUGUCCUCUGUGGCCUCUUACCUGUCUGAGACCUUGAUUCCUGCAUGCGUCUUCUAGACUGUCAGCCCAGAAAGCUAAGUGGACAGAGAGACAUGGGCCUCCCUGCCUCCUGGACCCAUGCUUGCUCCCGGACAUAACAUUCCAGAGACCUAGGAGAUACCGGGGGAGUGAGAGUUCUGGCUUUCGGGCUUACAGUUCAACAUCCUCCCCGCCACCUUCCAGAUUUUUUUGUGUCGCUCCUGCAUGCGUUUUCUCUGUGUGGUUGUGCAUCUUGAGUUGUGGUUUUCUUACCGUUUUUUUUCUUUCUCCAUUUUGUUUUUCCUUUUUCCUUUUUUUGCGUCCAUCCGUCCAUCCGUGCGUCCAUCCCUCCGUCCAUUCGUCCUCACUCUCUACAUCCUCCUAUGCCCCCCCACCCCUUC
rnacentral:lncRNA from 10 species